rnacentral:rRNA from 1 species
GCUUUCUACAGGCUUAACACAUGCAAGUCGAGGGGCAUCAGGAAGAAAGCUUGCUUUCUUUGCUGGCGACCGGCGCACGGGUGAGUAACACGUAUCCAACCUGCCCUUUACUCGGGGAUAGCCUUUCGAAAGAAAGAUUAAUACCCGAUAGCAUAAUGAUUCCGCAUGGUUUCAUUAUUAAAGGAUUCCGGUAAAGGAUGGGGAUGCGUUCCAUUAGGUUGUUGGUGAGGUAACGGCCCACCAAGCCUUCGAUGGAUAGGGGUUCUGAGAGGAAGGUCCCCCACAUUGGAACUGAGACACGGUCCAAACUCCUACGGGAGGCAGCAGUGAGGAAUAUUGGUCAAUGGGCGCUAGCCUGAACCAGCCAAGUAGCGUGAAGGAUGAAGGCUCUAUGGGUCGUAAACUUCUUUUAUAUAAGAAUAAAGUGCAGUAUGUAUACUGUUUUGUAUGUAUUAUAUGAAUAAGGAUCGGCUAACUCCGUGCCAGCAGCCGCGGUAAUACGGAGGAUCCGAGCGUUAUCCGGAUUUAUUGGGUUUAAAGGGAGCGUAGGUGGACUGGUAAGUCAGUUGUGAAAGUUUGCGGCUCAACCGUAAAAUUGCAGUUGAUACUGUCAGUCUUGAGUACAGUAGAGGUGGGCGGAAUUCGUGGUGUAGCGGUGAAAUGCUUAGAUAUCACGAAGAACUCCGAUUGCGAAGGCAGCUCACUGGACUGCAACUGACACUGAUGCUCGAAAGUGUGGGUAUCAAACAGGAUUAGAUACCCUGGUAGUCCACACAGUAAACGAUGAAUACUCGCUGUUUGCGAUAUACAGUAAGCGGCCAAGCGAAAGCAUUAAGUAUUCCACCUGGGGAGUACGCCGGCAACGGUGAAACUCAAAGGAAUUGACGGGGGCCCGCACAAGCGGAGGAACAUGUGGUUUAAUUCGAUGAUACGCGAGGAACCUUACCCGGGCCUAAAUUGCAGUGGAAUGAUGUGGAAACAUGUCAGUGAGCAAUCACCGCUGUGAAGGUGCUGCAUGGUUGUCGUCAGCUCGUGCCGUGAGGUGUCGGCUUAAGUGCCAUAACGAGCGCAACCCUUAUCUUUAGUUACUAACAGGUUAUGCUGAGGACUCUAGAGAGACUGCCGUCGUAAGAUGUGAGGAAGGUGGGGAUGACGUCAAAUCAGCACGGCCCUUACGUCCGGGGCUACACACGUGUUACAAUGGGGGGUACAGAAGGCAGCUAGCGGGUGACCGUAUGCUAAUCCCAAAAUCCUCUCUCAGUUCGGAUCGAAGUCUGCAACCCGACUUCGUGAAGCUGGAUUCGCUAGUAAUCGCGCAUCAGCCACGGCGCGGUGAAUACGUUCCCGGGCCUUGUACACACCGCCCGUCAAGCCAUGGGAGCCGGGGGUACCUGAAGUACGUAACCGCAAGGAUCGUCCUAGGGUAAAACUGGUGACUGGG